rnacentral:rRNA from 1 species
UAGAUUGAACGCUGGCGGCAGGCCUAACACAUGCAAGUCGAACGGUAACAGGAAUCAGCUUGCUGAUUCGCUGACGAGUGGCGGACGGGUGAGUAAUGUCUGGGAAACUGCCUGAUGGAGGGGGAUAACUACUGGAAACGGUAGCUAAUACCGCAUAACGUCGCAAGACCAAAGAGGGGGACCUUCGGGCCUCUUGCCAUCGGAUGUGCCCAGAUGGGAUUAGCUAGUAGGUGGGGUAACGGCUCACCUAGGCGACGAUCCCUAGCUGGUCUGAGAGGAUGACCAGCCACACUGGAACUGAGACACGGUCCAGACUCCUACGGGAGGCAGCAGUGGGGAAUAUUGCACAAUGGGCGCAAGCCUGAUGCAGCCAUGCCGCGUGUAUGAAGAAGGCCUUCGGGUUGUAAAGUACUUUCAGCGGGGAGGAAGGGAGUAAAGUUAAUACCUUUACUCAUUGACGUUACCCGCAGAAGAAGCACCGGCUAACUCCGUGCCAGCAGCCGCGGCAAUACGGAGGGUGCAAGCGUUAAUCGGAAUUACUGGGCGUAAAGCGCACGCAGGCGGUUUGUUAAGUCAGAUGUGAAAUCCCCGGGCUCAACCUGGGAACUGCAUCUGAUACUGGCAAGCUUGAGUCUCGUAGAGGGGGGUAGAAUCCCAGGUGUAGCGGUGAAAUGCGUAGAGAUCUGGAGGAAUACCGGUGGCGAAGGCGGCCCCCUGGACGAAGACUGACGCUCAGGUGCGAAAGCGUGGGGAGCAAACAGGAUUAGAUACCCUGGUAGUCCACGCCGUAAACGAUGUCGACUUGGAGGUUGUGCCCUUGAGGCGUGGCUUCCGGAGCUAACGCGUUAAGCCGACCGCCUGGGGAGUACGGCCGCAAGGUUAAAACUCAAAUGAAUUGACGGGGGCCCGCACAAGCGGUGGAGCAUGUGGUUUAAUUCGAUGCAACGCGAAGAACCUUACCUGGUCUUGACAUCCACAGAACCCUGUAGAGAUACGGGGGUGCCUUCGGGAACUGUGAGACAGGUGCUGCAUGGCUGUCGUCAGCUCGUGUUGUGAAAUGUUGGGUUAAGUCCCGCAACGAGCGCAACCCUUAUCCUUUGUUGCCAGCGGUCCGGCCGGGAACUCAAAGGAGACUGCCAGUGAUAAACUGGAGGAAGGUGGGGAUGACGUCAAGUCAUCAUGGCCCUUACGACCAGGGCUACACACGUGCUACAAUGGCGCAUACAAAGAGAAGCGACCUCGCGAGAGCAAGCGGAUCUCAUAAAGUGCGUCGUAGUCCGGAUUGGAGUCUGCAACUCGACUCCAUGAAGUCGGAAUCGCUAGUAAUCGUGGAUCAGAAUGCCACGGUGAAUACGUUCCCGGGCCUUGUACACACCGCCCGUCACACCAUGGGAGUGGGUUGCAAAAGAAGUAGGUAGCUUAACCUUCGGGAGGGCGCUUACCACUUUGUGAUUCAUGAC